rnacentral:rRNA from 1 species
GACAGAGGGGGCAAGCGUUGCUCGGAAUCACUGGGCGUAAAGGGCGCGUAGGCGGGAUGGCAAGUCGGUCGUGAAAUCCUUCGGCUCAACCGAAGAACGUCGGCCGAUACUGCCGUUCUUGAGGGAUGCAGAGGAGAUUGGAAUUCCCGGUGUAGCGGUGAAAUGUGUAGAGAUCGGGAGGAACACCGGUGGCGAAGGCGGAUCUCUGGACCAGUUCUGACACUGAUGAGCGAAAGCCAGGGGAGCAAACAGG